UACGAGUUUAAAAGCAUAAAAGUUUGCCUUGACUUUAGCUAUAAAUAGACACUCAAUAUACGAGAGAGGGAUUGCAAUUGUUGCGAGAACUUGACUAGAUCCAUCUCAAAUCAGAAUCCUAGCUCCCCCAACCUUCUUCUUGACCCCCACUACCCCUAUUAAACUUGAUUUUCAUAGUAAGGUAGUCAAUUGGCCGCUAGAUUUGUGUGGCUUGGAUUUGGUUCAAGCAUGGCCUUGCUUGCGUUGCUUGAUAUUUUGUAAGGUUAGGUACAAUUCAGCUUACUGUCGACUCAGCAUCCAAUGACGAUCCCAUACUCAAGUGUGGUGAUAUUUAAAUUUGUAAUGGCAUGUACCUGGGGGGUCUUUUGAAAUGAUAUUGUUUUGUUAAUAUGAUGAUGUUUUGAAUUUCAUAUGUAAUGAUGCUUAAAUGUGCAUAUGGUUGAAAGUGAAGCUAAGUUUUGAUAGGUUAGCUUAGUUGAUGUUUUGGUAUAUGUUAGAUUUAGCUUGUUAUUUAAAUAGUUAGAACAUUAGUCAACCUUGAUAAUUUGGUAUGGAUGUGAAUGAAAUAGUUGAUGCCUUGUUAUGUGUUGGAAAUAUGAAA